UACGUAGGUGGCAAGCGUUGUCCGGAAUUAUUGGGCGUAAAGCGCGCGCAGGUGGUUCCUUAAGUCUGAUGUGAAAGCCCACGGCUCAACCGUGGAGGGUCAUUGGAAACUGGGGAGCUUGAGUGCAGAAGAGGAAAGUGGAAUUCCAAGUGUAGCGGUGAAAUGCGUAGAGAUUUGGAGGAACACCAGUGGCGAAGGCGACUUUCUGGUCUGUAACUGACACUGAGGCGCGAAAGCUAGGGUAGCAAACGGG
rnacentral:rRNA from 1 species